rnacentral:snoRNA from 1 species
AUUUAAGGUUUAAAAUGAUCAUGUCUUACCUCCUGUCCUAGUCCCAGAGCCAGCAAACUGAAUU